GCUGGGCCGGGGGACCCCGCCUUCUCCAGCAGGGAGAGGAAAACAAGCUCAGCGCAGCAGCAGGGGGAGAAUGAAUUGCCUGCUCCGGCACACUGGCUCCUUUGUGCGUACCCUGGCCCCCUCUGCCGGAGCCCUGCGAGCCGAGCCCGAGAGCGGUGUGGGCCGGUUCCCACUGUGCCCCGUUUCAAAACAAAGGAGGCACCCCAGAGACAGCGGCCCUGGGACUCUGCCGCCCGAGGAAGGUCUGCAGUGAAGAUGCAUCAGGAAAAUUCUAGCUCAGAUGGCUAAAGCAUCUCUGAAAUAGACAAGUAAGUUGCAAAUGAGCUCAGUUUAUUGAUGCAAACAACCCUCCCCUCCCCUCCCCCCACACUUCAAUCUAUUUUAAACCUCAUUGUUUUCUAGAUUUCAGUUCAAGAGUCCUGGUGUUUGAUUAGAGUGAUCGGAAGAUUCCAGGGUAUUAAAAACCUCUUCAAGCAUCACAUGGUAUUUGUUAGUUGAUUUCUUCCCCCUGGGAAAAUUCCAGAAGAGAUUCUCCCCAAUCCCCGUUUCCAAGACUCUCACUGUUAUUCAAUGCCUGUUGUUUCACACUGGAACAGACACAUUCAGUGAAAAUAGCCCUGUGCUAUGCUGUGUUCUGUACACUCUGCUCAGUAUUCAUUCCCUCUUCCAGGCACUCUUCUCUUAUUCAGGAAUUGUUUACAAGGAAUAGAGAGAAAGGCCUGGCUUGUCAGGUGAAAGGACAGUGCCUCUAGUGAGACCUCAGGGGGAAUUACACAUGUCCUUAGCCAGCUCCAUUUCAUUGGUUAACAUGCUUGUGUUCCCUUCCUCCAGUUGCAGUUUAUUUUUGUGGGUGCACAGAUCACUCAUUCCCUCGUGUGUGCCCCACUGACCCUCAUUCUAGUCAGUGUUUAAUUUUGGAGAGAAACCCUGUCCAAGAACUGAGAAGACAAGGACAACCAACACGUCCCACUCUGAAGGGGUAUAGAUCAGCAUAGCUCCCCCUGUUAUGUUUAUGUAAAGCCUUUGACAGAAUGUAGCAUUUAGGGGGUGGGAAUAACAUGCACAUUUUUAUUCUUUCUUCCUACCCAUUUUAAUCUUUGGGGGAAUGUUUGUCUUUAUCUCCUGCCUCCAUCCCAAAAGUGGGCAAACUAUGGCUCGUAGGGCUGGCUUUAUGACCUGUCCGAUUGGAAUACUCAGUGGCGGUCCAGGGCUUCGGCAUCAUGGGCUCCACUCUAGUUCUUCUGCGGCAUCGA
rnacentral:lncRNA from 1 species